UACAGAGGUCUCAAGCGUUGUUCGGAUUCAUUGGGCGUAAAGGGUGCGUAGGUGGGUAUGUAAGUCAGUGGUGAAAUCCCCGAGCUUAACUUGGGAACUGCCGUUGAUACUAUAUAUCUUGAAUAUCGCGUAGGUAAGCGGAAUAUGUCAUGUAGCGGUGAAAUGCUUAGAUAUGACAUAGAACACCAAUUGCGAAGGCAGCUUACUUCACGAUUAUUGACACUGAGGCACGAAAGCGUGGGGAGCAAACAGG
rnacentral:rRNA from 1 species